UAGGAUUUUCGAAAAUGUUAC
rnacentral:piRNA from 1 species